rnacentral:lncRNA from 1 species
AUCUCACAUCUAGACUGAUGUCGGGGGGCUGCCUGCCCCCCAUGUCUCUCCACUCCGGCCCAUCCUCCACUCGGCCACCAAACGUUUCCCCAAAAGUGUCCAUCUGGCCCCACUCCGUGCCCUCCAGGGACUCCAGAUCAGCUCCAGAGUGCUUGCUUUGGCACCAUCCAGACUAAGGAGGCCAGGAAGCCCCCUUAUGGCAAACCUCCCCCGCCAGAGCGGGCUCCCAGCCAAGGAGAGAACCAGGGAGCCCUCACCCAGGGACCUCUUGGCCCGCAAGGCUUGGCCCACCCUGAGGAAGAAGACGAAUGAAAUGAAAGACGGAAGAGGCUGGGAGUCAGCAGUCACGUCGAGUCCAGCCCGCCCAGGCCUGCUUUCCCGAAUCCGCCGAUGCCUCCUGGGAUGCGUCCUGGGCCCGGCCCAUGGCCCGCAGCCACCCCGGGGCUCCCAAGGCCUGGGCUUGGUCUCAGGGAGGCCCCUGGCACUGCUGCUGAGAUUUGCCUGUGGGACAAGGAGAGGCCAAGCUGAGCCGCUGUUGGGGUCGCUGCCCCCUCCCGGUCCCUCAGGUCAACAACUGCAUCUGCCGGGUGCAGGAUGGCCACAACACAUGGUGGAACGUGGCCUCAGAGGGGCCCAGAGACCACGCCACUGUUUGCUUCCCAGGCUUGGGAGUCCCCACUUUCCCCGGGGGGCCUGAGGGCCUCCUUGUUCGCUGUGGCGCCACUGGGUCCUCUGGGAAGGCUCCCAUACGUGACUACACCGUCGCGUAUUCCUCUUUUCACCGUCCGUCCAUGGGGGCGACUCGUGGCCUUGGAAGUCUGGCUCCGUUUCUGGAGGCUUCAGCCACGAGACCUUCGUCGGAGGGACUGACUGAACUUUUCUCAGUUCUCUUCUUUCUUCCUCACCAUGUUGGUUUUGUUCCUACAGAAACCUUUUCACUUCCUGUAGUCAGUCAUCCUUCUGGAAGGUGGUGGGGAGGGGCCUGGGACCCACCCUGACCCCCUGUGUCUCCCGUCCCGCGAGCCCAGGCCCCCCCUCAGCCAUGAACGUGGCGGCCGGCCCCAGCCGGGACAAUGCCUCCUUGGCUGCUAGGAGUGAGGCGAUUGACUCUCCCCUUUUUCUGUGGACAUGCGCAGCGUGGAGACUCCCCGACAGUCACGUCUGCCGCUUUGACAAGGGGCCUGGGCCGUGCCCGUAGAGCGGCUCAGUAGUGGGGCGGCAGUCACCGUGGAUGGAAGAUGGUGGCUGUUGUCCGAUUUAUCCUGGCAGCGCAGCUGCUGGAGCCCUGCGAGUCUGUGACACCCUCCCUGCGCUCUGGGGGGCAGCCCUGCCGCGGCUCCUCAGAAGGGAGCUGUUUUUGGGCAUUUCCCAUUCCAGGACGGAAGAGAGGAGUGAAGAGUGUCUAAGCACCUGCUCUCUGGCCUCCAGGAAGGCUGAGACAGCUGAGACGGGGAGAGAACCCUCAGGAGGAAGCUGCUCCCUGGGCCGGCGACUUCGGGAAAGUCCUUCCAGUCUCUCGAGUCACAGAAACGUUUAGCAUUUGUGACUGUCCGACUGCCGUUCUGCCAUCUCUGUUCAGGGCCACAACUCAGAAGUUCCCCCGAUUCUCAGUGGGAGCUUCGGUGGUUCCUUAUACGUGGACAACCCAGAUCCUCGGGGAGGCAGGGCGGCCCUUCUAGGGAACUGGAGAGGAAUAC